AAUGGCCGCGGUAACUUGACUGUGCAAAGGUAGCAUAAUUAUUAGUCUUUUAAUUGAAGGCUUGAAUGAACGAUUGAAUGAAAAAUAAACUUUAUUAAUAAAAUUAAUUUAAUUUAGUAUUUAAGUAAAAAUUCUUAAAUAAUUAAGUGGGACGAGAAGACCCUAUAGAAUUUAAAUAUUUUUUAUUAUUGUAAAAUUGAAGAAUUAUUAUUUUAAAAUAAAAAAAAUUUUUUUGUUGGGGUGACAUUAAAAAUUAGUUAACUUUUAAUUAAUAUAACAUUAAUAUAUGUUUUUUGAUCCAAUUUUUUUUUUGAUUAUAAGAUUUAAUUACCUUAGGGAUAACAGCGUUAUUAAUUUGAAGAGUUCAAAUCGAUAAAUUAGUUUGCGACCUCGAUGUUGGAUUAAGAAAAAAUUUUGAAGCAUCAUUUAAAAUUUUAGGUCUGUUCGACCUUUAAAUUCUUACG
rnacentral:rRNA from 1 species